AAUGAAGAAGCUGGCUGUCACAUCAAAUUGUCGCCAGAAUUAUGUUAUAUGCAUUAUGAAUCAGUGUAGAGAAUUCAACAUAUGUUGGCAGCCUGCUUCUUCCCUUCUCUCUUUUCCUAGAGGUACCUCAUUA
ensembl:ncRNA ZK836.7 ncRNA